GUCAGUCCUGCUGUAUCAAUUAACGUAUAAUUUUAACUAUCAAAGUGCAAAAUAUUAUGUCAAGAAAUAUAAACAAAAUAGCCGACUUAAUUGAACUUUGUGGCCUUUUUUAUGAAAACAUAUUAUUUGUCAGCACGCCAAAGCUGUGACGCUAGCCAAUCACACGGCGCGUAAUUUGUUCUACAUUCCAAGGUUGUGACGCUGGCCAAUCAGUUUUCAUGUACUCUCUUUGAAUCACGAUAUGGCGCGCAAGCAUAUGACCGUUACAUAUUUCGACAUCAUACUGCAGUUGUUUGGACGUGUAGCGUGCAGCCGACAUCAUUUUACUCAAAUAACAGAAGAGUUUACAAGACCUCACAGAUGACGAAACCCCACUCAGCAAUGAUUCAUACAGGAAUUGAGGAGGAGCCAAAGUCAGCAUGGAUUGUCGAACCAGUAUGGAGGAGUUAUGUAUGACUUUCGAAGAUGCUUCAGUUUGAAAUCUUUCGGACAGUACUCGCAGUGCCGUAGCUGGUGCAUGACCAAGUGAUUGAAGACAGUUCAACAAUGAUGGGCAGAGUGGAACUGAAAAAAAGCAGAUGAAGAGACGGACCUUUCAGUUUCGCAGCGAGGUCUAGUAACUUCGUAAUCGGGCAAGGUGAUGGAUGUUGCUGCUUGUUGAGUUUUUCAUCUCCUGUCAAGUUUGCGCCUGAAAGAAGAGGUGAUGGAGGGACACACUGAGGGCCCAUGCACCUUCACAUUCAGUCGUACCUUUGGACUGUGUUAAAUAUUUCAAUAUUGGAACAGUUGAUUAAUAGUAAUUGUU